rnacentral:rRNA from 1 species
CACGUAGGGGGCAAGCGUUGUCCGGAAUGAUUGGGCGUAAAGAGCUCGUAGGCGGCUCGGUAAGUCGGGUGUGAAAUUCCAGGGCUCAACCCUGGAACGCCACUCGAUACUGCUGUGGCUAGAGUCCGGUAGGGGAGCGUGGAAUUCCUAGUGUAGCGGUGAAAUGCGCAGAUAUUAGGAGGAACACCAGCGGCGAAGGCGGCGCUCUGGGCCGGAACUGACGCUGAGGAGCGAAAGCAUGGGGAGCAAACACG